UACGACGUAUCAGAGUUUGAUCCUGGCUCAGAUUGAACGCUAGCGGCAUGCUUAACACAUGCAAGUCGAACGGCAGCGCGGGGAGCUUGCUCCCUGGCGGCGAGUGGCGGACGGGUGAGUAAUGCGUAGGAAUCUACCUUGUAGUGGGGGAUAACCUGGGGAAACUCGGGCUAAUACCGCAUAAUCUCUUUGGAGCAAAGCGGGGGAUCUUCGGACCUCGUGCUAUAAGAUGAGCCUACGUCGGAUUAGCUUGUUGGUGGGGUAAUGGCCUACCAAGGCGACGAUCCGUAGCUGGUCUGAGAGGACGAUCAGCCACACUGGGACUGAGACACGGCCCAG
rnacentral:rRNA from 1 species